rfam:Oryza rufipogon genomic scaffold, chr04
CCUCUUGAUGAAGAGGAUAUGGUGCAGUACAUCAUCUCAGGGUUAGAUGAAGACUUCAGCCCGAUCGUCUCUGCUCUCUGCACCAAGUCCGAUCCCAUCACGGUUGGGGAGCUGUACUCUCAACUCCUCAACUUUGAAA